GCUCGGCAAGAAGUUGCAUUAAGUUGCAUUGCUCUGAACCUGUCCCGGGGGAGGGAGAGAGAAAGGGGCUUUUCCUGGUUGUAUCAGAGCAGAUGGCGACGGACGUGGUUGAAGCGGCGUCGCCGGCAUCACAGUCGCCUUCCCAUUAUAGUCAACCACGCCACUUCUACCUUGCAGUCGACAGACUCCACUUCAAGAUGGAGACUUUGGUGGAUUUGUUGGGGAUGGCCGGCCGGCGGCCGUCUCUGCCGAUGGUUGUGUGCUGCAACGCUCGCGACGACCUUGAUGCUGUCUGCUCGGCCGCAUCUAAACUAUCCCACAUUUCCAUGGCGUCUCUGUACAGUGACUUAGCUGAAGCAGAACGUGGGAUGAUUUUUGAGAAAUUCAAGCAAGCAACAAUGAGGUGGAAUCAAGAUGCCACUCUUCAAUCUGGAGAUGGCAUUGAAACUGGGAAAGACGAGCAGAAGUCUCACUUGAUUGUUGUAACAGAUGCUUGCCUUCCACUUCUUGCUUCUGGGGAAACACCAAUGGCUGCCCGUGUUUUAGUAAAUUAUGAGUUGCCAAUGAAGAAGGAAACAUAUACAAGACGCAUGGCAACUUGUUUGGCUACAGAUGGGAUUGUAAUUAACAUGGUUGUUGGGGGUGAGGUGGUAACUUUGAAAAACAUUGAAGAAAGCAGUGGCCUUGUCAUAGCUGAAAUGCCCAUAAAUAUCUUUGAAAUGCUGUGAACGCUUGCAAUCUGGGAAAUCAGUGAAAGGACUUCAACUGUACUCUUUUCGGACACUGAUGGAUGAGGUAGCUUUGGAAGCAAAGCCAAAUAAGGAAACUAAUUUGACCACAAGGCCGUGUGAUUUUUUAGUUGGAAUGGUCCGGAUGGAUAUCAUUAGGUUUGGUAUGAGUUAUGGAGCAGGGCAACAGUUACAACUUCAAGAAGGUGAAGUUUUGUCUCACUCUUAAUUAGUAAUCUGAUAUCGCUUAAAACAAGGCAGUGGGCCCUUGGAUCAUCUUCCUGAAAACAGUAUAGUUUCCUUUGAAACUGUUAUCAAAUGAUCCAGACACAGCUCCAUGUUUCCUGCUGCCAAAUUAUCGCGUAAUUUGCCCUCCUUGGGGCCUUGAUUUCGUCUGGCCCCACGUUGCCCUUCGGAAUUAUUUCUUGCCACCAUUGAUAGAAACACCAACGUGUAGCAUUCUGUGAUCAUCAGGCCGUCAAUGAGCACCUCUACCCUUAUUUGUUGAUUUUCUGAUUAUAGAAAUGACUUGCAUUUAUGGGUGGCUGUUUUGAAACACUGCGGAUAUGAAGAUUCUCAGCGGUUUGUUGUUUUGAUUAUUGAGACAAAGUUGCUAUAGAAAUAUCAGGUACGGCAUUCAUCUCACUUAACCUGUCAUUUAAAGUGAAAAGGGUAAGGUCGUGGACAUAAAAUUUUGUAUGAAGUAAUGUGCUCAAUAUUUUGUCUUCUUGUUUCAUAAGAAAAAAUUUCGUUAUAAUAAUUUAAAUUUAUGUUAAUGUUAUUGUUAUGUCGUUUUUUGACAAGUAGAUAUAAAGAGCCAAUCAUUCUAGUUG